rnacentral:rRNA from 1 species
UACAGAGGGGGCAAGCGUUGUUCGGAAUUACUGGGCGUAAAGGGCGCGUAGGCGGCCCGCUAAGUCGAACGUGAAAUCCCCGGGCUUAACCCGGGAACUGCGUCCGAUACUGGCAGGCUUGAAUCCGGGAGAGGGAUGUGGAAUUCCAGGUGUAGCGGUGAAAUGCGUAGAUAUCUGGAGGAACACCGGUGGCGAAGGCGGCAUCCUGGACCGGCAUUGACGCUGAGGCGCGAAAGCCAGGGGAGCAAACGGG